UUAAUGACACUUAAUCAUUAACAAACAUUUAAAAAGCUUUAUUACAAUACUAAUUGAUAAUAUAUAUGUAAUAAUCUUGUUUUGUAACACCCUAAAUCACUGAGCGCACAAACGCUACCCCUGUUACAAGCAUGAGUGAUUGACUUCAGGCACACAUGCGCAGACAUUGAAGUACCGCGAGAGUGAUUCAAAAGCCCACGAAACAGUGUAAUCACGCGGUACUGUGAUGUCAUACUGGUUAAGGCUAAGCCACGUGAAGCCGGACACAAGGGCUUUGGGCUGGAGUAGCCUGUGGCUUUUAAGGCUUCGUGUCUCAUCGCGUUAAACGAUCGCAGAACGAUUUAUUUCUCUUUUUCACCUCGAUCUUUGGCCUCGUGUGAUUUACCAAAACCAACAUGUGAAGUUACAACGCUGACGAAGGAGUUUCAUCAGUAGAGUGUGUCCUGGAAAACGUGUGCUCGGAAACAUGCAGAAUACAGGAUUUACAGAGCCGACCUUGAGGCACCCACUGAUGGAUAAUCUGUUUACCUAAAAACAGCCCACCACAAUCCAUGUUUACCAGCUGUGAAAGUGCAGGCCAAAAAUAUUCCUUCACCUGUGGGCCUCUACCCACAUGUAGAUAAGCACUUCAGGAGAAACCUGCCUGUGAUCUGCUAAGAUGCACAGAUUCAACUCUGGCCCAAUUGUCAUCCCAACACCUCAUCUGCCAUCAGUUUCGUUUAGUGUCGGUCUAUUGCAAAAGUUCUUAUAAACUUUAAAUGAGACUUUGUGUUAAGCAGGGGUUUCCAAACUUUUCAUUCCACAACAUAUUAAGCCCAGGAUACACAGCAGGAUUUUUGCAAUCCAAUAAGACCUUAUCACACUGUGUGACAAGGAUUGUUUAAACUUCAGCAGUAGACUGUCGAUGAAGACACCUAUUGCAUCUGAAGCUGCGACAUCUGUCAUCAACAUGCGCUAGUGGUAAACAAAUACAGGUAUGCAGGUCGUAGAAGCAAACACAUUGUUGAUGUGCGUUGAUCAUGCUGAACUUCUUACACUGUCAUAAAACUAUCGUAGGUGUCUUUGGUCCCAGGACUGGGAAAACAGACGUCUUUAAACCUCUCACACUGUAUGAGAUAGGACCACCAAUUAAGAGCCACGAUCACAGAAAUCUCCACAAUUGUUUCACGAUUGGUAAUCUUUCAUCUGGGACAGCCAAAAAUCGUGCCGUGUAUUAUGGGUUUAAGACAGGUGUAAUCUUAUAGUAUAUCAAAACCAUUGCUAAUAAUUAAUUGGACAAACCAUUACUACAAUGCAACACUCACUAUCUUACGGUGCGACCCACAAGUGGGUCUUCACCCACAGUUUAAAAACCCUGAGUAUGAGAAAGAGUAUGUUGUAUUGUAAUUAAAGUCACAUCUAAGUGUUAUGGAACAGUUUGUCAUUAUAUUCACAGUAUUACAUGGUUCUUUCAGCAGUUACUACGUUACAGUGCUCUUAAAGUGUCCUGAUCAGCUUUGGGUCUUGUGAAGUAAUGUAAUGAGAACGUGAUCAAUAGCUUUGCAGUAUUUUGUUACACUGUGGCUGUAAUCAUAUUAACACAUAGGUUAAACAUUUUAUUCAAAUUUGGUAAACAAACUAGUCAAUAUAAUUCAUGCUGUGAUGCUGGAUUAAACCUGGUCAAAUGAUUGUGUAUUGUGUUUUCAAUUUUUAUGAGGUUUCUUCAUCUAUAUAAACAUUCUUAAUAUCA